AGAGUUUGAUCAUGGCUCAAGAUGAACGCUAGCGGCAGGCUUAAUACAUGCAAGUCAAGGGGUAGCAAUACACCGGCGUACGGGUGCGUAACGCGUAUGGAACCUGCCCUUAUCUGGGGGAUAACUCGGGGAAACUCGAGCUAAUACCGCAUAAGAUAGUAAAGAGGCAUCUCUUAGCUAUUAAAGAUUUAUCGGAUAAGGAUGGCCAUGCGUAAGAUUAGAUAGUUGGCGGGGUAACGGCCCACCAAGGCUACGAUCGAUAGGGGGUGUGAGAGCAUGACCCCCCACACGGGUACUGAGACACGGACCCGACUCCUACGGGAGGCAGCAGUAAGGAAUAUUGGACAAUGGGCGGAAGCCUGAUCCAGCCAUGCCGCGUGAAGGACGAAGGCGCUCAGCGUUGUAAACUUCUUUUGGAUGGGAACAAUAACUCCGACUUGUUGGAGCUUGAGGGUACCAUCAGAAUAAGCACCGGCUAACUCCGUGCCAGCAGCCGCGGUAAUACGAAGGGUGCAAGCGUUACUCGGAAUUACUGGGCGUAAAGCGUGCGUAGGUGGUUGUUUAAGUCUGUCGUGAAAGCCCUGGGCUCAACCUGGGAAUUGCGAUGGAAACUGGGCGACUAGAGUGUGGCAGAGGAUAGUGUAAUUCCUGGUGUAGCAGUGAAAUGCGUAGAGAUCAGGAGGAACAUCCGUGGCGAAAGCGACUGUCUGGGCCCAACACUGACACUGAGGCACGAGAGCGUGGGGAGCAAACAAGGAUUAGAUACCCUGUAGUCCACGCCCUAAACGAUGCGAACUGGAUGUUGGGUGCAAUUUCGCACGCAGUAUCGAAGCUAACGCGUUAAGUUUCCGCCGCCUAGAGGAGUACGGUCGCAAGACUGAAUACUCAAAAUGAAGUUGACGGCGCCCGCACAUCAGUGGAGUAUGUGUUUCAGUCCGAUGCAGCGACGAAGCAUUCCUUUACCCUUG
rnacentral:rRNA from 1 species